AUGGCAUCUUCCAAGAGUAGUCUUGCAAUGUUUGCACUGGCCAUAGUCAUGGCCGUGGUGGCUGACGUCUCGGCGCAGAACACCCCGCAGGACUUCGUCAACCUGCACAACCGCGCCCGCGCCGUGGACGGCGUCGGCCCCGUGGCAUGGGACAACAACGUGGCCAGGUUUGCGCAGGACUGGGCGGCGCAGCGCGCCGGCGAUUGCCGGCUGCAGCACUCCGGCGGGCCGUUCGGCGAGAACAUCUUCUGGGGUUCCGGGCAGUCGUGGACGGCCGCCGACGCGGUGAAGCUGUGGGUGGACGAGAAGCAGAACUACCAUCUUGACAGCAACACCUGCGACGCCGGCAAGGUGUGCGGGCACUACACGCAGGUGGUGUGGCGCAAGUCGACCCGCAUCGGCUGCGCGCGCGUGGUCUGCACGGGGAACCGGGGCGUCUUCAUCACCUGCAACUACAAUCCCCCGGGCAACUUCAACGGCGAGCGCCCGUUCGCGUUCCUCACCCUUGACGCCGAAGCCUAG
rnacentral:rRNA from 1 species